UUAGAGGCAUUUUACAUAUUAUACUUUAAAGGAUUGGAGUCUAACGUAGAAAUAGAAACCUAGUCCAAACCAUCUCUGUAAAAUAAAUUAUUAAAAUAAUGCUUUAAAACUGGGAAAUGAUGCAAACGCUGAGGAAAGUAACAGGUGUCACGUGACGGACGUGUCGGGCUCGUUGCCUUGCGCGUGGCCGUGGCGUCAAGAUCUUUUAUUUAUGAUUAUCUGUAAUUUAAACAUCUGCUGGACUUCUCUUUUGGUCCUCCUGACCCUUGUAAUAUUGUUUGCAAUGUCCUCAGACGCCGAUGAAAAAUAUGUGUCUGUAGAUUUUGAGGUGUUCGGGAAUGUUCAGGGUGUUUGCUUCAGAAUGUACACAGAAGAAGAGGGGAAGAAUCUAGGCGUCACGGGCUGGGUGAAGAACACUAGACAGGGCACUGUGGUCGGACAGGUGCAGGGGCCGCCAGAGAAAGUCAACGAAAUGAAGCACUGGCUCAGUAAAGUGGGCAGUCCCAGCUCUCGAAUCGACCGCGCUCAGUUCUCCAACGAGAGACGCAUCUCUAAACUGGAGAUCCGAGGAUUCGGCACUCGAUACUGAUACCCUACCCAGUCCCAUCGGCACCGGCAAUCACUAAACUCAAACACUGGCCAGAUCUUCACUGACAACUUCCCCAAAGCAAAACACAAACACAGUCGUGAUUUUAUCUGAUCCAUCCAUUCAAACGCAACAAGAUAAAACAAUAUCGAAUAUUGAACUGGAUUGUUAUCCUAUAAAGUAUUAUAUAUUUAUAAAUCUAAUUUUUUGUACAAAUUCAGCUUUGAAUCACAGGAAUAAAUUACACGUCACUAUAU